ACCCCCACGAGGCUUUCUCCUACAGGGUCUCCCUAGAUUUGCCUGGAAGAAGGCUCUGGAGAAGCCUGGAGCUUGCAUUUCUAAGGUGGUAGGAGGUUCCUGUUGUCACAGUGGAUAAGCUACUGGAGCCCUUAUUGGGAUCAAAUGCUCAAGGAAGGGCCCCGGGGGUCCCAGGCUCUUGUGGCCACCGAGCACCCACAGAAGAGGCGCAGACCCCCAGAAGGCCCGGUCUGCAGCCCAGCUCCUUCCCGGGAUCAUUUGGCGCCGACUCCCAGAGCACGCAGCCCACCGCGCCCACCUGCGCCAGCGUUCCCCGUGCGGGACGGGAACAGGAGUUAAAGCCGCCCGGGCGCCCAGUGCGCUCUGCCGGCCGGCUGCAUCCACGCGCCUCGCGGCUGGGUUUCUUCGCUCUCUUAGCGGCCAUGCGACGCCUGGCUCUCCUUCUGCUCCAUGGGUCCGUGCUGGCCGCGCUGGGCGGACUGAGGGGGCUCUGAGACCGACUAUGAGAAAGCUGCUGCUGCUGCUAAGUCACUUCAGUCGUGUCCGACUCUGUGUGACCCCAUAGACGGCAGCCCACCAGGCUCCCCCGUCCCUGGGAUUCUCCAGGCAAGAACACUGGAGUGGGUUGCCAGUUCCUUCUCCAAUGCGUGAAAGUGAAGUCGUUCAGUCGUGUCCGACCCUCAGCGACCCCAUGGACUGCAGCCCACCAGGCUCCUCCGUCCAUGGGAUUUUCCAGGCAAUACACAAAAUGAAAGUGAUAGCUGCUCAGUCGUUUCUGACUUUUUGUGACUCCAUGGACUGGAGCCCACCAGGCUCCUCUGUUCGUGGGAUUUUCCAGGCAAGAAUACUGGAGUGGGUUGCCAUUCCCUUCUCCAGGGGCUCUUCCCAACCCAGGGAUCGAACCCAUGUCUCCUGUGUCUCCCACAUUGCAGGCAGAUUCUUUACUGUCUAAGUCACCAGAUAUGUUAGUAAAAUUUUAACUUAGUCACAGCAAGCAUGUACCUGAAUCUGAAAACUAAUGUUUGAGACUCAUCUACAGAUGGUAUGUAGAAUACGUGUGCACACUGGAUCUCCAGACUGAGAAUCCCCAGGGCAGAAUAGUGUUCCAGACGGGACUCGCCUAGCUGUGCGAGUCUCUGAAGGUUGACUGCAGGCCUCACUGGGCUCCUUCUGGAAGGAUCUGAUAAAAGAUGGCAAAAGAGUCCAGGAGCAUAUAUUUGAGUUUAUGCUAAGUGACUCUGGACUCAUUAAAUCCUUGAAUUUUCCUUUUAGAAACACUUGUUCACUGGGGCUUCCCUGGUAGCUCAGCUGUUAUAGAAUCUGCCUGCAAUGCAGGAGAUCCUGGUUUGACUUCUGGGUUGGGAAGAUCUGCUGGAGAAGGGAUAGGCUACUCACUCCAGUAUUCUUAGGCUUCCCUGGUGGCUCAGCUGGUAAAGAAUCUGGCUGCAAUGAGGGAGACCUGGGUUCGAUCCCUAGGUUGGGAAGAUCCCCUGAAGAAGGGAAAGGCUACCCACUCCAGUAUUCUGGCCUGAACCACUUAUUCACUAGCCUCACUUUAUAGAUAAGAACUGAGGCGAUAAGUCUCUGAGGUGAUAUGUUAGUAU
ensembl:lncRNA